ACUAAAUCUCCAAGGGAGUGGGCUUUAUUUUCUUCUUAGGGAAAAAAUAUAUGAAAAAGAGAGAGAAAGAGAGUAGUAAGGAUGCAGUGUUUCUUGUAAGGAACUCCUUUUGAAGAGAUCAUGCUAAAAAGGCUGCUAAAGGGAUCACUUGCUGCUGUAAUUUGUAGAAAGGAGCUCUCUUAAUUACAGUCGGAGUUUAUUGCAUCUCUCCUUCUCUCUCUCCCCCCAUGUGCGUGCAUGCAGAGAGCUCGAGAAAGCUGGCAGCGCUACCUGAAUAGCUAUUGAAAGAGUGUGCGACUUCUCAGUGCCUGCUUCAUUACUGGGUGCAGCUCUUCCCAGGCGUGAGAGAGCCUAACUGCAUUCUCCUAUCGCAAAGCCCUCGGCUGGAAAUCUUCUCAAGGGAAAGAGGGACAGUAUGGAAAAAAAAAAAAAAAAGAGAGAAACAAACAAACAAAAAAGUAUGAAAAGGUGAGCUCUUCUCAUGAUGACUCUAGUAUCCAGAUGUUAAGUAGAAGUGACAGCCAGAUCAGGUCCUGUGCACCUGUGCAUGACAGAUAUUUCUUCAGGAGGAGGGAACCAGAGGAAAGAAGCUGCUGCCCAGCAUUCACCAUGAGUGCAGAAGAGGGGUCAUAUAUGAAUGUUUUAUCUCCUUUCAGGACAGUGAAUCAUCAUAUCAGAAAUGUCUGAUGUGUCACUUGUGUCAGCCUGUUGUCCAGAAUAAGCUUGUAUUGCUCAUGGUUGUUACUUCUGUUGAGAUUUAAUACAGGAUCUACUAAUUCUGUGGUAUUGCCAUCCUUACUGUGGGCAUAGAUUUUUAUAUGUGCCUUGGACAAAAAAAUAUAAGAAAAUGCUUCCUAUACACCACCCAUAUGCCCCAGAGUGCUUCAGUUCGUGAGCCUUCACUUACUUACUUUGUAAUAGAAACUUCACUUUUAGGAGAGUAAAUGGAAUUCCAUCUUAGCGGGAAAUCCUAUUCCAGAAAAC
rnacentral:lncRNA from 1 species